AUUGAACGCUGGCGGCAUGCCUUACACAUGCAAGUCGAACGGCAGCACGGGGCAACCUGGUGGCGAGUGGCGAACGGGUGAGUAAUGCAUCGGAACGUACCUUUCAGUGGGGGAUAACGUGGCGAAAGUUACGCUAAUACCGCAUAUUCUGUGAGCAGGAAAGCAGGGGAUCGCAAGACCUUGCGCUGAUUGAGCGGCCGAUGUCAGAUUAGCUAGUUGGUGAGGUCAAGGCUAACCAAGGCGACGAUCUGUAGCGGGUCUGAGAGGAUGAUCCGCCACACUGGAACGGAGACACGGUCCAGCCUCCUACGGGAGGCAGCAGUGGGGAAUUUUGGACAAUGUGGGCAACCCUGAUCCAGCCAUGCCGCGUGAGUGAAGAAGGCCUUCGGGUUGUAAAGCUCUUUCGGCCGGGAAGAAAUCGCACGGGCUAAUACCCUGUGUGGAUGACGGUACCGGAAUAAGAAGCACCGGCUAACUACGUGCCAACCGCCGCCGUAACAC
rnacentral:rRNA from 1 species